GAGCCCCAAUCAUUCCUAACUACCCCCCCAAUUUUUGCCUCCCAAUAACCCGAGGGAAAAAAACAAUUGCCAGG
rnacentral:rRNA from 1 species